rnacentral:rRNA from 1 species
GACGGGGACCCGCACAAGCAGCGGAGCAUGUGGUUUAAUUCGAAGCAACGCGAAGAACCUUACCAGGUCUUGACAUCCAUCUAAAGCGUUAGAGAUAACGUGUGAGCUUGCUCGAGAUGAGACAGGUGGUGCAUGGUUGUCGUCAGCUCGUGUCGUGAGAUGUUGGGUUAAGUCCCGCAACGAGCGCAACCCUUAUCGUCCGUUACUAACAGGCAAAGCUGAGGACUCAGACGAGACUGCCGGGGACAACUCGGAGGAAGGUGGGGACGACGUCAAAUCAUCAUGCCCCUUACGACCUGGGCUACACACGUGCUACAAUGGGUACAACAAAGAGAAGCAAAACCGCAAGGCGGAGCAAAACUCAAAAAGUACUCUCAGUUCGGAUUGUGGGCUGCAACCCGCCCACAUGAAGUUGGAGUUGCUAGUAAUCGCGGAUCAGCAUGCCGCGGUGAAUACGUUCCCGGGUCUUGUACACACCGCCCGUCACACCAUGGGAGUUGGGAGCGCCCGAAGCCAGUGAGCUAACCGCAAGGAGGCAGCUGUCGAAGGUGAGACCAAUGACUGGGGUGAAGUCGUAACAAGGUAGCCGU